CUUCUGUGAGACAUGAAACUGAUAACUGUAUUCCUCAUCUUUAUGGGAAUCAAGACAAUGGCAUAAUUCUCAUUUGGAAUACCUGGUGUAUAUAUACUUGGGCUUUAAAUUCUCCAUUGUGACAGAGGCUGGCACUAGAGAAAAACUACCAAGCAGAAGAGUAUGUGAAAUUGAUCACCUCAACAGAGGAGGGGCCCCAGUAGUGGAAUCCAGAGGAGGAGUAGACUCUGGCUGGGAGAGAAGUGAGGGUCUCUCGGUCUUGAGAAGCCAAAGAGAGAAGUUGGGGAAAAGAUUUUCUCCUGAGGGUUACCCAUUUUUCCUACUGGUAACUAGAAAUUUUUCCUCUCAACACUUCCCAAUUGAAGGGACUUCUGAAGAGAAACCUGAGCAGACUUUACCUCAGGUCCUGUUGCCCAGGGAUAAAAAAAAUGGAAACUAAGAAUGACAAAAUGACUUCCCAGGAUCACACAACUAACAGGUAACUGAGAGGGAGGGAACAGAUAAAGAGGAACCCCACUUCUCCCAACCCAGGUAGAGCUGUCUAGAAAAUGGAGUUGGAUGUUGGAUAUGACCAGAGCUGAAGGGUAAGAGAAAAUCCCCUUUAAUCUCUAUUCUUAUUGUCCUCUUUAGUUGAUUGUAUCUAUGAUC